GCCCGGGUGGUGAAAUGGUAGACACAAAGGACUUAAAAUCCUUUGGCCGUAAGGCCGUACGAGUUCGAGUCUCGUCCCGGGCA
rnacentral:tRNA from 1 species